AUGGUUCUACAACAGUUUGGGCGUUACCCAGCAAAACUAUUCGACAAGUUAUCCAGAAAAGCGACUAAUAUUGCAAUGGGUGGUGUGGUUGGAGCGGUUGGUAGUACCCCAAGCCCUCCGAUGGGUAGUGGAUACUUUCCCUCGAGUAAAGCCGCUUCAAUCACCGGCAUUUCAUACAUUGGAGAAGAUGGAAAACUCAGACCGUUUGCCCUCAGUACAAUUAAAGUGGAGACUAAGAGCAGUUGUUACUCUGUCACACCUAUUAUAAACGCCAAGUUCUCUUAUAAAGGGCCUGGAGGUUGCUCCGCUCGUGCUUUUUAG
rnacentral:rRNA from 1 species